rnacentral:ncRNA from 1 species
AAAAUUUAUGGUGGGGUCACGCAACCUUCUCAACAGGCCGUACCAAUACCCGCAUUGUCUCUGAAAAUUGAGAUAGUCGGGCUUGAUUGGGACGCAACAAUAUGGUUUAUGUACUCGUUCUGGGUAAAUAGAGAUUUUCGGAUCUUGUUCCUCGGAUAGCAGUUACGUAACCAUUUGGAGAACUUUCUUGCCAAAAUUUUUAAGGGAUUAUCGCAAGAUUUAUUCUUUUUAAAUUAUAACGAUUAUCAGUUAACAAUCAACUUGGAGACUUGGAGAAUCCGACUGUCUAAUUAAAACAAAGCAUUUUGAUGGCCCAACGGGUGUUGACACAACGUGAUUUCUGCCCAGUGCUCUGAAUAUCAAAGUGAAGAAAUUCAAGUAAGCGCGGGUAAGCGGCGGGAGUAACUAUGACUCUCUUAACACUCAAGCUGAACGGACGUGUUAGCGGAUAGUUGCGAAAAAAAAGGAAGAAAAUUAAUAUUU